UACGGAGGGCGCAAGCGUUGUUCGGAAUCACUGGGCGUAAAGCGCGUGUAGGCGGCGGGGCAAGUCGGAUGUGAAAACCCGAGGCUCAACCGCGGAACUGCAUUCGAAACUGCUCGGCUAGAGUCCCGGAGAGGAUGGCGGAAUUCCCGGAGUAGGGGUGAAAUCCGUAGAUAUCGGGAGGAACACCAGUGGCGAAGGCGGCCAUCUGGACGGUGACUGACGCUGAGACGCGAAAGCGUGGGGAGCAAACAGG
rnacentral:rRNA from 1 species